GAACAUGUGGUAGAGUCUGGUUUAUUACAGUCGUUUUGAAAGCGACCACUUUAUUAAAGUCAGAGGUUCGAAUCCUCUCAUGUUCG